CCUACGGGUGGCAGCAGUGAGGAAUAUUGGUCAAUGGACGAGAGUCUGAACCAGCCAAGUAGCGUGAAGGAUGACUGCCCUAUGGAUUGUAAACUUCUUUUAUAUGGGAAUAAAACGUUCCACGUGUGGGAUUUUGUAUGUACCAUAUGAAUAAGGAUCGGCUAACUCCGUGCCAGCAGCCGCGGUAAUACGGAGGAUCCGAACGUUAUCCGGAUUUAUUGGGUUUAAAGGGCGCGGAGGUGGAUUUUUAAGUCAGUUGUGAAAGUUUUGUGUGCAAACGUAAAAUUGCAGUUGAAACUGGCAGUCUUGAGUACAGUAGAGGUGGGCGGAAUUCGUGGUGUAGCGGUGAAAUGCUUAGAUAUCACGAAGAACUCCGAUUGCGAAGGCAGUUCACUGGACUGCAACUGACACUGAGGCUCGAAAGUGUGGGUAUCAAACAGGAUUAGAUACCCGAGUAGUC
rnacentral:rRNA from 1 species